AAGUGUGGUUAAUUCACAUUGGGGGC
rnacentral:miRNA from 1 species